rnacentral:rRNA from 1 species
AUUGAACGCUGGCGGCAUGCCUUACACAUGCAAGUCGAACGGUAACAGGUUAAGCUGACGAGUGGCGAACGGGUGAGUAAUACAUCGGAACGUGCCCAGUAGUGGGGGAUAGCCCGGCGAAAGCCGGAUUAAUACCGCAUACGACCUAAGGGUGAAAGGGGGGGAUCGCAAGACCUCUCGCUAUUGGAGCGGCCGAUGUCAGAUUAGCUAGUUGGUGGGGUAAAAGCUCACCAAGGCGACGAUCUGUAGCUGGUCUGAGAGGACGACCAGCCACACUGGGACUGAGACACGGCCCAGACUCCUACGGGAGGCAGCAGUGGGGAAUUUUGGACAAUGGGCGCAAGCCUGAUCCAGCCAUGCCGCGUGCGGGAAGAAGGCCUUCGGGUUGUAAACCGCUUUUGUCAGGGAUGAAAUCCUUUGGGUUAAUACCUCGGGGGGAUGACGGUACCUGAAGAAUAAGCACCGGCUAACUACGU